CUGGACCCCACGCAGCGGCCGCUGGGCCUCUGCGCCUGCGCAGAUGCGCUGACCCGGAAGACACAGGGACAAAAGAGGGAAUUGUUUCAGAACUGGAAGAGAAUGACCCAGCCAGCACCUGCACAAGACUCCACACUGCAAAGGCUAACCCAGAUCAGUUGGCAGGGGAGGGAGCGGUGGUUACUGGGCAGAGUGCAGGGUCCUUGGAGAUUCUACAUUCAGCCACUAGAUGGUGAAGCACAUAGGAGAAAAACCCACAUGGAGCCCGAAUCCAAUCAGCCCUCAUCAGACCUCACUGACAGCAAGUUUUGCAAGGAAACUGUCCAACCAAUUGGUAUCUUUGGAAAGGCUAGGCUGGAUCUUCCCUAGCAAGGCCUUCCACCUGCAACUUUUUUUUCUCCAGCCAUUUCUCUCUUUGACCAGACUACAUAAGGAAGCAGGAAACCUUCCUCUUCUUCUUCUUCUUUUUUUUGGCCAUGCUGAGCAGCUUUCAGGAUCUUGGUUCCCCAGCCAGGGACUGAACCCGGGCCACCACAAGUGAAGCACCGAGUCCUAACCACUGGACCGCCAGGGAACUCCCUGGGAAACGUUCUUCAAACCCUGUGAUUGAACUGGACAGGGAAUGGACUGCUGUCUGUAAGCAGCCAACAGCCAGCAGCUUUUCAGAGUUACUUAGUGGGCAAAUUUGUUAACUUUGCUUUAUUUCUCUGUAUGUUUACAUUAAAAAGAAAUUCACACAAAUAAAACAGCU